rnacentral:rRNA from 1 species
GACGAACGCUGGCGGCGUGCUUAACACAUGCAAGUCGAACGGAAAGGCCCUGCUUGCAGGGUACUCGAGUGGCGAACGGGUGAGUAACACGUGGGUGAUCUGCCCUGCACUUCGGGAUAAGCCCGGGAAACUGGGUCUAAUACCGGAUAGGAGCCAUUUUUAGUGUGAUGGUUGGAAAGUUUUUUCGGUGUAGGAUGAGCUCGCGGCCUAUCAGCUUGUUGGUGGGGUAAUGGCCUACCAAGGCGGCGACGGGUAGCCGGCCUGAGAGGGUGGACGGCCACAUUGGGACUGAGAGACGGCCCAGACUCCUACGGGAGGCAGCAGUGGGGAAUAUUGCACAAUGGGCGCAAGCCUGAUGCAGCGACGCCGCGUGGGGGAUGACGGCCUUCGGGUUGUAAACUCCUUUCGCUAGGGACGAAGCUUUUUGUGACGGUACCUAGAUAAGAAGCACCGGCUAACUACGUG